CCUCAAGAUGAUGUGCUCCCUGUAAAGACAACUCUGUUUUUACAAGUAUUUUCCAAACUGAGGAGGUCAAAAUAGCAACAUUAACAGGAGUUUGGAAGAAGUUGAUGCCAACUCUCAAGGACGACUUUUGGGAGUUGAAGACUUCAGUGGAGAAUAUAAUUGCAGAUGUGGUGGAAGCAGCAAGAGAACUAGAAUUAGUGGAUUCUGAAGAUUCCACUUCAGUGGAUGAAUUGCUGCAAUCUCAUGUUCUGCCCUCCACCAUGGGAUGAGUCAGCAAGAACGCCCUUGCAAGAUGCCAGACCCUCAAUCUUGGACUUCCAGCCCUCCAGAACUACGUCGUCUUGCUCUGUCACCCAGGCUGGAGUGCAAUGGUAUGAUCUCGGC